rnacentral:rRNA from 1 species
CCCUUAGAUGUUCUGGGCCGCACACGCGCUACACUGAUGGAGGCAGCGUGUACUCCUGGAUCGAAAGAUUUGGGUAACCCGCGAAUCUCCUUCGUGCUAGGGAUUGAGGUUUGCAAUUAUCCUUCAUGAACGAGGAAUUCCCAGUAAGUGCAAGUCAUAAGCUUGCGCUGACUACGUCCCUGCCCUUUGUACACACCGCCCGUCGCUACUACCGAUUGAAUGAUUUAGUGAGGACUUCGGACUGGGACCGAUGCGGCUUUCGGGCUGCGUCGGUAUUCUGGAAAGAUGUCCAAACUGUAUCAUUUAGAGGAAGUAAAAGUCGUAACA